UACGAAGGGGCUAGCGUUGCUCGGAAUUACUGGGCGUAAAGCGUGCGUAGGCGGUUCGUUAAGUCUGUUGUGAAAGCCCCGGGCUCAAACCUGGGAAUGGCAAUGGAUACUGGCGAGCUAGAGUGUGUCAGAGGAUGGUGGAAUUCCCGGUGUAGCGGUGAAAUGCGUAGAGAUCGGGAGGAACAUCAGUGGCGAAGGCGGCCAUCUGGGACAACACUGACGCUGAGGCACGAAAGCGUGGGGAGCAAACAGG
rnacentral:rRNA from 1 species